GACAUGAAGGGACAUCUGUCUGUACAGGUAUUCAUUCUACUGCAUAUACCCGAGUAUACCUGAGUACUGUGAAGUCCACCGCAGUAACAAUGACAUUACUGUUGACCUCUGGUCCUGAAGGUUGACCUCUGGUCCUGAAGGUUCUUCUGACCGUGUUAACUGACCUGAACCACUGUGGAUCAACUGUCAACUCUUCACAGACCACACCAUCACUGCUACGCUACACCCAGAGCAACGAUCGCAGAGCAACGAUCGCAGAGCAACGAUCCCAGAGCAACGAUCCCAGAGCUCAAACUCCCGAAAGUUGAAAACUCAAAACCAGUCUUCGAAUGACAAAAAAUACAAACUUGUGCUCAGAGUGGGGAAAAGGUCAAAGGUCUCUGAGGGACCAGUGGACUCAGGUGUCAAGACCAACAGAAGAAGUUCCUGUUUCUAAAGAACACCACGUGGACAGGUUGGUUCCUCCUCCUCCUCCUCCUGGAGGAGCGUGUCCUCACGGCCGGAGCUCCAGGCUGGUUCUCAGGUAGAACACCAGUCCGUGGAAACGUCUACCUUCCUGGUCAGAAACCGUCGGCCGAGGCUACUGGUUUUGGAGGCCA